GACGAACCGUGCGAACGUUGUUCGGAAUCACUGGGCUUAAAGGGCGCGUAGGCGGCAGAUCAAGUCCGGGGUGAAAUCCUCCAGCUCAACUGGAGAAGUGCCUUGGAUACUGAUGUGCUCGAGGGAGGUAGGGGUCCGCGGAACUUCUGGUGGAGCGGUGAAAUGCGUUGAUAUCAGAAGGAACGCCGGUGGCGAAAGCGGCGGACUGGAUCUCUUCUGACGCUGAGGCGCGAAAGCUAGGGGAGCAAACAGG
rnacentral:rRNA from 1 species